AGGGUGUAAACGCUGCAGACUUGGUGUUGGGGCCCUUUGGGGCAUUCAGUGCCGGAGAGAAGUUGUUAAGUCUGCUACUUGGGGAGUACGUCCGCAAGGAUGAAACUUAAAGGAAUUGGCGGGGGAGCACCGCAACGGGAGGAGCGUGCGGUUUAAUUGGAUUCAACACCGUAAAACUCACCAGGGAAGACUGUUACAUGAAGGCCGAGAUGAAGACUCUGCUAGAUUUUCAGAGAGGUGGUGCAUGGCGUCAGUGACU
rnacentral:rRNA from 1 species